UACAGAGGGUGCAAGCGUUAAUCGGAAUGACUGGGCGUAAAGGGCACGUAGGCGGAUAGAUGUGUCAUAGGUGAAAUCCCCGGGCUCAACCUGGGAACUGCCUGUGAAACUGUGUAUCUAGAAUAGAGUAGAGGUAAGUGGAAUUUCCGGUGUAGCGGUGAAAUGCGUAGAUAUCGGAAAGAACACCAGUGGCGAAAGCGACUUACUGGACUCAUAUUGACGCUGAGGUGCGAAAGCGUGGGGAGCAAACGGG
rnacentral:rRNA from 1 species